ensembl:lncRNA
UGUGUGUGUGUGUGUGUGUGUUUCUUUUUUGUCCUUUCUUGGUAAGAGUGGAAGCAGACUUGUGAUGUUGUUUCUCCUGGUUCUUCUUGCUCUCCAGGUUGCAUGCCAGUACUUCCCCUUGGAGCAGGCGAGAGACUUUAUGAAGGCUGUCUCGGGCAGCAUGCUGUCCUUCAGCCCCACUURUGCAAAUGCAGCCRGAAAGUGGAUGAGGAUCYUUCUGGAGCAACGUGGAAGAGAAAUACUCCCAGAGGUGAAACACCCUUGCUUUAUCUUUGAAGUUUGGGCUUUGACAUUGGGCUGUUGCGCUACCCCUCGCGUAGCUGAUGUGGGCUGCAGAAGGGCAUCUGGCGGGCAGAGCCAAGAGUGUCUUGCUGAAGCUGUGUAGCUGAAGUCCUGGCAACCUACUCCAUGAGCUGCUCUCAAUCGGAGACAAGCACUUCUAGGGCAAAGUCUCCAGCUGUUCCUGAUACAGUCUCAAGAAGGAGAAAACCUGAAGGACCCACAUUUCUACGACCUGCCCCUCUCUCUGGUGUUCUGCUCUGCUCUCCACUGCCCCUCUGCGGGGGGGCACUGGAGGGUGGGCAGUGCCAGCCUUGCACAGAAAGGAGGCAGGAGUGUGGCUUGCAGAGGGUCACUGGUGUCUCAGGGUCUACUCUGGGAAGGACAGCAUACUGAUGAUGGGCGUUUCCCUCUCCUCAGCCUCGGGUCUGCUGGGCUUUUGUGAUAUGUUUGCUCAUGCAGUCUGCUUCCUUGCUYUUUCUUCAUUGGCCCACAAUUCCAGGGCCUAUCGCUGUGUUUCUGGUUCUCUCUGCUCUGCCYKAGCCUGUUUUGUUGUCAUCUCUGAGCGUGCCUGCAAGCUUGCCUUCCUUUCGUGAGAAGUUUUUGCCCAUUGGUGAUGUGUGCUUCUAGUCGUGGGGGCUCAGCCUGCAUGCUGAACCUCUUCUUGCCGCCUUCCAUGCAGGUGCCCCAAGUCCUGGCAGUCAUCUAUGACCAUCUGCCAGCUUGCCAGCAGGACAACCUAAAAGAGAGUCUCUUUGAUGCAGUAUCUGUCUUGGCCUCCUAUCACCCCGAGGCAGUGACCAACAGCCUCCUGCGGAGACACCUGCCAAUGGACAGUGAUACAGCGGAGUUGUGGAGGACCCUUGGUAGAAGCUGCUUUGCAAUCCAAGUGCUCCAGUUACUAGCAGAGAGACUCGAGAGGGCAGAAACCAGCAGCAGCAGCAGCAGCAGCAGCAGGAACUGCCCUGAGGAUGCCGUGAAGAACAAGGAGGCUGCUCUGGAACCUCUCACGGUAUGUAAACUGACAGGCGCAUUUCUGUGCCCUCUUGCUUGCGCCGAGAAUCCUGCUGAGUGAAAGCGAGGGCUAGGGCAUCGUCUUGUUACACAGGCACUUGUAAAACCACAUGGAGAAGCCUCACAGUGUGCUUUGCUAGGUCAGCCUCGUUUUUAUCACUGUGAGAAGCUGCAAGAGCUUGUUGUUCCCGAUCUUCAAGGUUGCAGCAGAAGUCAGAGAUCCAGACAGAAUUCCAGGCAUGCAGGCAGGCACGCAGGCAGGCGGGGCAAGUGGUGGGGAAAGCUCUUCUUUCCAACCGAUUGUUUGUGAUGGCAUUUCUUCUUAGGCAACCUGUGCCAUCUUUGAGCUGGUGUCGGCUCUGCAGACCCAGGAAGCAGUAUCCUUCUUGCUUCCAUGGUUAUUUCCAACGCUCAUGAAGCAGAUCAGCGACACGCUCGGAAAGGAGAUGCCUUCGUCCCCAGGAAGAGUCGAGGAGAAGCUGGUCCGUGUGGCGCGUGGAGAAGACAGCCAUCCUUGCAGGUGAUGAGCAAAACGGGCAGAGAUGGAGGGGGCUGGCUUUGGUUUACAUCACCAGGUCAGGCUUGUUCUUGGCAUGGAGGGACCUCUUUGGUCUGCCCUGUUUCCUCGAUGUUGAGGCAGAUUAUCAUGGUGGUUCUUACCUCUGUUCAAAUGCAGCUUGAGAUGCCAGCUUUUUGGGGAACCCUGAGAGACUUUACUCAUGCAAAUGGUAGAGAACAAAGUAUUUCUUGGUCUUGUAUGACUGAGUGCCCCUCUCAGGCUGGGCUGGGCCUCCUAUUUCACUAGUCCUGGUCUGUUUGAGGUACCUACAAGUGGUGAUGCAACUACCAAAUGGUCAUUCUAGCCCAUUAUUGUCCAUUUCCCCAACUUUGUGGGGGCCUCAGUGUGCAUCUUUUGCAUGGAAUGGUAUUCUGAAAAUGCGCAUGCUCCUCAGGGGUCAGGGCAAAGAGAUGCCGACCAUGGUCUGCUGGUAGUUCCCUCCAGAUGAUGAUUAGAAGAACCCUCAGGUUCUAGCAUCAGCAAAAUCAAGGUUUCUGUUGUU